rnacentral:rRNA from 1 species
CUACGGGUUGCUCCAAUGGGGAAUAUUGGACAAUGGGCGAAAGCCUGAUCCAGCAAUGCCGCGUGAGUGAUGAAGGCCUUAGGGUUGUAAAGCUCUUUUACCAGGGAUGAUAAUGACAGUACCUGGAGAAUAAGCUCCGGCUAACUCCGUGCCAGCAGCCGCGGUAAUACGGAGGGAGCUAGCGUUGUUCGGAAUUACUGGGCGUAAAGAGUACGUAGGCGGUUAUUCAAGUCAGAGGUGAAAGCCUGGAGCUCAACUCCAGAACUGCCUUUGAAACUAGAUAGCUAGAAUUAUGGAGAGGUUAGUGGAAUUCCGAGUGUAGAGGUGAAAUUCGUAGAUAUUCGGAAGAACACCAGUGGCGAAGGCGACUAACUGGACAUAUAUUGACGCUGAGGUACGAAAGCGUGGGGAGCAAACAGGAUUAGAUACCCCCGUAGUC